UUUCCCCUUCGAAUGCGGCCGGUAACACGUCUAGGUUCGCUUAGAGCUCCCUGCAACCUCCUCUCCCCCUUCCUCUAUUAAUCCGGAGGGCGUUAGACGGCCAAUUCCGUCCAAAUUUCGUUGAUCCUCCUUUCCACUGCUUCGAUCCCCAAUUUGUGAUGGCUCGAUUCGGUGGAUGGAUUCAGUUCCUGAUCUCCUUCCUCCGAGUUCUCAUGGAGAGGCCCGUUCCCGACGAGAUUCAGCUCGCGUUUUGAAGCCAGAUCGGCCGUCGAUUAGAUGGCUUGGUUUGGUGGAUGGAUUAGCUUGUUGUUCUUCAUCUUGCGAAUUCUGAAGGAGAGGCCCGCUUCGAGUGAUCUCCUACUCGUUCUGUAACAGACUGAACGAGGAUCAGAAAUCCUUCAAUGUUUGAAGAAGAUGAAUUGAAUAUCACGCUUCAAAUUGUAAUCGAGUUGUAUGUAACUUUGCUUUAACACAGAGUGAGUCGAGUUGAGAGCAGAUUCAGCAGAACUAGCCAAUUUGCUAGUUACAGAUUCCAUUGUGGGUUGUUUGUUUCUUAAGCUCUAGUGCUGUGGUGUACUGAAGUUUUGUGUAAUCGACAUCAUUUCUUAAUCA